GUUAGUUAUGAAUUAAGAAGAGAAAUUGAUCAAAUCGGAAAAUAAAAUGAAGUUACAUCACUUCCGUUAUGAAGUUGCAACGCUCCGACGAAAGGUGGCGUACGAGCAGAGCGGAGUGAAGUCGGGAGUCACUACAGAGUCGUCGUGUCGAGCGGACGUGUACUGCCGUUCUAGUCGGGCAGUCUACCGCGAACCAUCGUCAUGAGCAGACGUGUCGAAUAAUUACGAGGAGUGCUAUAGUCGCUCACCUAUAACUUGUAGGGACGUCAAGAAAGUGUGAUCGGAAAAGAGUACCUAGCAAGUACGUUCACAUGUCCCGAUGAUUCGGUCCGAAUAUAGGAACCAUGGGUGGUGGAGGGCAAGUAGAGGGCGAGUAGCCCCUUCGCGCUAACGUCCUUAUGCGCGCUAGAUAACGAGAGACUGUGUAACCGUUACGAAUACCGUGACGUUGCCGUGAGUGUGUACCUUAUGCUGUGAGUUUAUUUAAUCGUGAUACAAAAACUAUGUGGAAGUAAAUAAAAUGAUUGUGAUACUGAUGACGGCCAUUAUUGUCUUCUAACGCCCACCCUCCAUUCUGAUGAUGAUGUUACGACCGACCGACCCCACUGAUACGACAUCAGAAGUGGGAUUAGUGGACUUGGAUGAAGACAACGUGAUGCGACGUUCACAACAAGACAAUGCAAGUUUCGAUUAUCACAAUCAGAAGAAGAUUAUGAUGAUUAUCACAUUCGUGUGACCACGUGAUGAAGAUGUAGUGUCAUGCCUGAAUUUGGAGAUGGACCUGAAUUUUAAGUGACCUGGACCUUGUUAAUGAUCGACAUCACUACAUGCCGUAAGAUAUGAUGGCGUGAACAUCACAAUAUGUCCAUACUGUGUGCAGUCGUGUUUGAAAAUUAUGGAACCUGAAAUUGAAAACUGUUAUUACGGUGAGUCGUUUUCAUACUGGAACCUUAUUGUUGUUGACUUUAUUGCUAUGUGAAUUUCCGUUUCUAAUAAUGAGGAAAUUGUUUUUUAAAAAAAACAAAAUUGACGAGACACAUUGUGUCAAUCCGUGUCAAUCAUACCGCGUUUUCCAAUCUGUUUUCAUCAUUGUCAAAUCUUUGUAUUUUGGUUUAAAAAUAUUUCGAAUUGGUGUAGACACGCUUAACCUGCGUGGUUAAAGUUGUAUUUUCUCACUCCAAGCGGGUGGAGGUUAGUCAUGAUAUGAUGUCUUGUUAAAUAACGUGUUUUGUAAUCUACCGUCAUUCAUCAAAUGUUUCAAUAUUCAACAUUCUUUAUUGUAAUCUUUUUAAACUGAUUGAAAGAAAGUCAUGUGAAUACGAUAAUACAGUGAAUUCUUUUGUUUCAUGUCAUAAUUUGUCACGUGGUUCGGCAACUGGUGGAUUGCAAGCGGCGAUGCAAGUGGCGCGGGCUGAGCUGCAGCCGUGUAAAGUGAUGACAUCACGGCAGCGCAUUGUAUAACAACGGGACUUGUGGAAGACCUAAACCAUGUCACAAGACCAGUGGUUGAUCUUUUAUUGGAAAUUCUUAUAAGUCCUGGUGAGUCGUAUCUGUUUUACCUGAUUUGAAAGAUGGAAAGUUUUAAUAGGAUACAAACGAAUAUAGUGCAGAAAGUUGUCUUUUGUUAACUUUAGUUAAAUUGGAAAUCGUAAUGAAGUGAAGUAAACAUUGCGAAGUAAAAUGAUUUGGAUUAUGAUUAAAUGAAAUAGGCUAGGAAAAUGCCCGAAACAGAGUAAAUCAUUAGUGAGAAAAUUGGAGCAAAACAUUCUAAAUGAUGAUCAUACCGAAUCAGUAAUUGUGUAAGUGCGGUAAUAUUUCCUCGAGGUGUUGGUCGCUACAUUGUGACUUUAUGACUUGUGUGUGUGAGAGCAGGGUGCUCUGUCGUUUUGUGGUCGUGGACCAUGGUGGCCAUCCCGGGAGGGGAUGUUGUGACUCAUGACUGUUUUGUAGCGUAACCGCAGUUUGGGGAGGAAUAUUACAGCCUGUUGUGCUUUGCAGUAGAUGUGUAAUGUUGGUUGAUUUAAUUGAGCAAUGAAAGCUAUGAUUGACCUGUUUCGGAGCAACUCUGAUAGGAAGCUGCGCACUUGUAGUGUUCGGGGCUGCAGCCACUUUUGUGCUGCUCGUCUUAGAAACUACAGGUAUGCGGUCGAGGCCUGGAUGUCAUGUUGACUUUGUAUUUGGUCAUGACAUUGUACCUGAAUCUAAGUCAAGUUGACUUCCGGUAGAAUUAGUCAAACUACACGAAUUAGAAAUUAGUGAUGUAGAAGAAAUUUGUAACCCAUGGACCACUAUUCUACCAACUAAAAUGUAAAGUUUGUGUGCUAGCUGUGUUGAGAUAUCGUCACUUGGUGCAAGUGGCAUGAGUUGCUGUCGCUCGAUUUAGGUGGCAGCAACGAUUGUGUUGAGAUAUCGUCACUUGGUGUAAGUGGCAUGAGUUGCUACCGCUCGAUUUAGGUGGUAGUGACGCCUGGUUGUGAGAUAUCGUCACUCAGUAGAGUGGCAUGAGUUGCUACCGCUCGAUUUAGGUGGUAGUGACGCCUGGUUUUGAGAUAUCGUCGCUCAGUAGAGUGGCAUGAGUUACUAUCGCUCGUUUAGGUGAUAGUAACGACAGACGUGUAAAGAGUAAUUGGAUUUUCAAGUUUGGUUGUUUAUAGUGUGUGAAUACUGGUCAAUGGUCCGUUUACCGUGUCGGAGUAGUUGAUUUAUCAUGAUGUAAUGUGAACUCGUGUAGAGUCACGAGUAGAGCUCAUGUAGAGUCACGAGUAGAGCUCAUGUAGAGUCACGAGUAGAGCUCGUGUAGAGUCACGAGUAGAGCUCAUGUAGAGUCACGAGUAGAGCUCAUGUAGAGUCACGAGUAGAGCUCAUGUAGAGUCACAAGUAGAGCUCAUGUAGAGUCACAAGUAGAGCUCAUGUAGAGUCUCAUGUUAGGUCAGGAAUGACCGAGCGAACUUGGAUACUGUGCUGUGGUAUGUUGUUUCAGAUUCACACACGAGGACGUGUGUCGCGCAGGAUGGCCGUGUCGGAGUUAGUUAUGAAUAAAGAAGAGAAAUUGAUCAAAUUAGACACUAUAAUGAAGUUGCAACACUUCCAUCAUGAAGUUGCAACGCUCCGACGUCAGGUGGCGUACGAGCAGAGCGGAGUGAAGUCGGGAGUCACUACAGAGUCGUCGUGUCGAGCGGACGUGUACUGCCGUUCUAGUCGGGCAGUCUACCGCGAACCAUCGUCAUGAGCAGACGUGUCGAAUAAUUACGAGGAGUGCUAUAGUCGCUCACCUAUAACUUGUAGGGACGUCAAGAAAGUGUGAUCGGAAAAGAGUACCUAGCAAGUACGUUCACAUGUCCCGAUGAUUCGGUCCGAAUAUAGGAACCAUGGGUGGUGGAGGGCAAGUAGAGGGCGAGUAGCCCCUUCGCGCUAACGUCCUUAUGCGCGCUAGAUAACGAGAGACUGUGUAACCGUUACGAAUACCGUGACGUUGCCGUGAGUGUGUACCUUAUGCUGUGAGUUUAUUUAAUCGUGAUACAAAAACUAUGUGGAAGUAAAUAAAAUGAUUGUGAUACU